UCGAGCGAACAGACGAGGAGCUUGCUCCUCUGACGUUAGCGGCGGACGGGUGAGUAACACGUGGAUAACCUACCUAUAAGACUGGGAUAACUUCGGGAAACCGGAGCUAAUACCGGAUAAUAUAUUGAACCGCAUGGUUCAAUAGUGAAAGACGGUUUUGCUGUCACUUAUAGAUGGAUCCGCGCCGCAUUAGCUAGUUGGUAAGGUAACGGCUUACCAAGGCAACGAUGCGUAGCCGACCUGAGAGGGUGAUCGGCCACACUGGAACUGAGACACGGUCCAGACUCCUACGGGAGGCAGCAGUAGGGAAUCUUCCGCAAUGGGCGAAAGCCUGACGGAGCAACGCCGCGUGAGUGAUGAAGGUCUUCGGAUCGUAAAACUCUGUUAUUAGGGAAGAACAAAUGUGUAAGUAACUAUGCACGUCUUGACGGUACCUAAUCAGAAAGCCACGGCUAACUACGUGCCAGCAGCCGCGGUAAUACGUAGGUGGCAAGCGUUAUCCGGAAUUAUUGGGCGUAAAGCGCGCGUAGGCGGUUUUUUAAGUCUGAUGUGAAAGCCCACGGCUCAACCGUGGAGGGUCAUUGGAAACUGGAAAACUUGAGUGCAGAAGAGGAAAGUGGAAUUCCAUGUGUAGCGGUGAAAUGCGCAGAGAUAUGGAGGAACACCAGUGGCGAAGGCGACUUUCUGGUCUGUAACUGACGCUGAUGUGCGAAAGCGU
rnacentral:rRNA from 1 species